UACGUAGGGGGCAAGCGUUGUCCGGAUUUAUUGGGCGUAAAGCGUCCGCAGGUGGUUUAUCAAGUCUGCUGUCAAAGCGCGAGGCUUAACUUCGUAAAGGCAGUGGAAACUGAUAGACUGGAGUGCGGUAGGGGCAGAGGGAAUUCCCAGUGUAGCGGUGAAAUGCGCAGAUAUCAGGAGGAACACCGGUGGCGAAGGCGGCUCUCUGGACCUGUCCUGACGCUCAGGCGCGAAAGCUAGGGGAGCAAACAGG
rnacentral:rRNA from 1 species